UUAACUUAUUAUAAAGACUCAGACUGAAGGUUCAGAAUUGGCCUCCGGCGCCGGAGCGCCGAAGCAACGAAGGGGGUACACAUGGGUUGGAGUUCGGCCGAAGCCAAUCUCUGUAAUGAUCCUUCCGCAGGUUCACCUACGGAAA
rnacentral:misc_RNA from 1 species